rnacentral:rRNA from 1 species
UGGGGAAUUUUGGACAAUGGGCGCAAGCCUGAUCCAGCCAUGCCGCGUGCGGGAAGAAGGCCUUCGGGUUGUAAACCGCUUUUGUCAGGGAAGAAAUCUUCUGAGUUAAUACCUCGGGAGGAUGACGGUACCUGAAGAAUAAGCACCGGCUAACUACGUGCCAGCAGCCGCGGUAAUACGUAGGGUGCAAGCGUUAAUCGGAAUUACUGGGCGUAAAGCGUGCGCAGGCGGUUUUGUAAGACAGAGGUGAAAUCCCCGGGCUCAACCUGGGAACUGCCUUUGUGACUGCAAGGCUUGAGUGCGGCAGAGGGGGAUGGAAUUCCGCGUGUAGCAGUGAAAUGCGUAGAUAUGCGGAGGAACACCGAUGGCGAAGGCAAUCCCCUGGGCCUGCACUGACGCUCAUGCACGAAAAGCGUGGGGAGCAAAACAGGAUUAGAUAGCCCUGGGUAGUCCACGCCCUAAAACGAUGUCAACUGGUUGUUGGGAAGGUUCCUUCUCAGUAACGUAGCUAACGCGUGAAGUUGACCGCCUGGGGAGUACGGCCGCAAGGUUGAAAC